CUCAGAAUUUGUCACAAAGAAAUUGUGACAUCAGUGACAUCAUAGACAUUGCCACACAGCAUAUUUUGUCAUACUGCACAUUGCUGCAGCUCCUCUUUUCGACCUUGUAUGUUGAAUGCUCCAUUUUAGCGAUAGAGUGAUGCAUCCUCUACAAAAUCUUUGUUGGGAGUUGGACAUGCACAGUAGCUAGUGAAGGACUACUAACCAAUCAAAAGCAGAGUAGAGCGGGUCGUGAGAAGCCGGUAAAAACAGCUUCGGUUCAGCUGCAUGUCCCCUUACCAGCAACAUAGACUGGAGCAAGAGUUUCAGAGUUGGAGAGUGGGGAUGAGGGGAGGCAGCCGGCGGUCCUUGUGUUUUCCCCACUGGUGUUUUUGGGGGCGUGCCUGACUAGCCGCUGAGCUUAUGACGCAUGUGACGCAAAAUGGUAACGGGAAGAAAGGUCUGGACUACAAUCAAGCCGUUUUCAGGCAGUUCAGAGCAGUGUUUUCUUUAGGAGGUGGGAACUCCCUUUGAGGUGGACUUGUUACGUCGGGUGUGGUUUGGACUCAAGAGCAGACAGAGACAGCGAGUUGAGGUUCAAAAGAGAGUUUUAAUGAUAAUAUAGACGUUGAGUGAAAUAAUGCUAUGAAUUAUCCGGAGCUGGUCGGUGGGGUCGAAGAUAGUGUGGUUGAAUAGAGGUCCAGUUGUGGUGGACUUGUCGUGGCAGGCGGUGUGGCAAAUGGAAAAGACCCAGGCACUGAAGCGAACAGAGACAAACACAUUAAUCUAGGUUCUUUCACAAAAACACAAGGUAAAUCACUAGACGUCUUCAAGAGGGUUAGCUGUGCGUAAUUACCACUGGAGUGAGAACAACAAUCUGGCACGGACAGUCAGGAGUAUUGUAGCCAAGGCUUGAUUGGCAGAUUGUCAGCAGCUGUGCUGGAAAGCCAGGAACCAGGGAAGAUCAAACACACACACACACACACCACACACAGAGAGACCAGCAAAACCACAACACACUCAGACAAGACUGGUCAUGGAUAGACCGUGACAGGACUUUUUGGGCUUUUUCACUUUGCAAACCUAUUAUAUGCCCAAAAAAGAUAUAUAACAUAAUAAAUCAGAGGGAAAAAGGCAAAAAGGAAAAUAUGACAUCUUUAAGACCAUGCAAUCUGUGAAUCUUCCUCACAAUUAAUAUAUUUAUUUUCCAUGUGAUUGCCACUGUAGUAAAUAACAAAAGACAAUGUGAAAGAGAGAAACAAUAACUGAGAAAAGAAGCAGGGAGUGAAAGACACAGAGACACAGAGACCAGAGGGUGAAAGCAGGUUAUGAAAUGCCAACAGAUACAGCAAUUAAGACAAAUGGGCAAUUAAGUGAACAGGUAGGAUGAGACAGACCCUGACACGGCUUACACCACUGAUCAAAACUUAUUUGUCUCACAUUCUGAAUAUCACAUUACAUUAAUCACACAUCCAGCCAAUCGAGACAGAUAACACAAAAUCUCAAUCAACAUAAUAGAUGAUUUGAAAUAAACAAGAUUGAUUAUGCUA